rnacentral:rRNA from 1 species
GACGAACGCUGGCGGCGUGCCUAAUACAUGCAAGUCGAACGCAGUGGGGACGGGCGAGUAACACGUGGGUAACCUCCCAUCAGAGGGGAUAACACUUGGAAACAGGUACUACACCGAUAUUGAUGGCUGGACCCUCGGGGCAUUAGCUAGUUGGUGAGGUAACGGCUCACCAAGGCCACGAUGCAUAGCCGACCUGAGAGGGUGAUCGGCCACACUAGGACUGAGACACGGCCCAGACUCCUACGGGAGGCAGCAGUAGGGAAUCUUCGGCAAUGGACGAAAGUCUGACCGAGCAACGCCGCGUGAGUGAAGAAGGUCUUCGGGUCGUAAAACUCUGUUGGUAGAGAAGCGGUAUCUAACCAGAAAGCCACGGCUAACUACGUGCCAGCAGCCGCGGUAAUUC